AUGGCUCAGGAUGAACGCUGGCGGCGUGCAUAACACAUGCAAGUCGAACGGGCCUAUCUGAGAAGCUUGCUUUUAGAUAGGUUAGUGGCGGACGGGUGAGUAACGCGUGGGUAACCUACCCUGUACAGGGGGAUAGCAGCUGGAAACGGCUGAUAAAACCGCAUAAAACGGCAUCGCCGCAUGGCGAAACCGUCAAAUAUUUAUAGGUACAGGAUGGGCCCGCGUCUGAUUAGCUAGUUGGCGGGGCAACGGCCCACCAAGGCGACGAUCAGUAGCCGGCCUGAGAGGGUGAACGGCCACAUUGGGACUGAGACACGGCCCAAACUCCUACGGGAGGCAGCAGUGGGGAAUAUUGGACAAUGGGGGGAACCCUGAUCCAGCGAACCGCCGCGUGAGUGAAGAAGUAUUUCGGUAUGUAAAGCUCUAUCAGCAGGGAAGAUGAUGACGGUACCUGAGUAAGAAGCACCGGCUAAAUACGUGCCAGCCGCAGC
rnacentral:rRNA from 1 species